CGGAGGGUGCGAGCGUUGUCCGGAAUCACUGGGCGUAAAGGGCGCGUAGGCGGCCUGGUAAGUAGGGGGGUGAAAUCCUGCGGCUUAACCGCAGGGCUGCCUUCUAAACUGUCAGGCUGGAGCACAGUAGAGGCAGGUGGAAUUCCCGGUGUAGCGGUGGAAUGCGUAGAGAUCGGGAAGAACAUCAGUGGCGAAGGCGGCCUGCUGGGCUGUUGCUGACGCUGAGGCGCGACAGCGUGGGGAGCAAACAGGAUUAGAUACCCUGGUAGUCCACGCCGUAAACGAUGGGCACUAGGCGUCGGGGGGAGCGACCCUCCCGGUGCCGUCGCUAACGCAGUAAGUGCCCCGCCUGGGGAGUACGGCCGCAAGGCUG
rnacentral:rRNA from 1 species